CAGUCGCCGCGGUAAUACGAAGGGUGCAAACGUUAAUCGGAAUUACUGGGCGUAAAGCGUGCGUAGGCGGUGAGUUAAGUCUGUUGUGAAAUCCCCGGGCUCAACCUGGGAAUGGCAAUGGAUACUGGCAAGCUAGAGUGUGUCAGAGGAUGGUGGAAUUCCCGGUGUAGCGGUGAAAUGCGUAGAGAUCGGGAGGAACAUCAGUGGCGAAGGCGGCCAUCUGGGACAACACUGACGCUGAGGCACGAAAGCGUGGGGAGCAAACAGGAUUAGAGACCCCGGUAGUCCCUGUCUCUUAUAC
rnacentral:rRNA from 1 species